GCAUUAUAAAACCUCAAGUUUACUGGGGCUUGCAUAUGAAGAGGGAUAAGGAGAGUCGAACAUACAAAUGAUAAUCCCAUGUCUUCAUUUUGUUGAAUCUCAGCUUUUAUGCAGGCUUGCUUCUUAGAAAGGAUCAUAAAAUUUCGUCCUACUCCUUAAAAGAGGGAACUCUGAAUUGAGCAGAGAUUUGGUCCUUUCAGAAAUCCAUUACGUAGCUUAAGGAGAUCACGACCAGCAAGUAAAAACUCUUCCUCACAUUUGUUACUACAGAUAUCAGAGAUACGCAAUUGUUUAAAGAAAUCAAGUAAUGUCAUGCAAUUAUAAUUAUUAUUGGAAGUCUAUCACCCACCCACCCCCCUUGAAUGCUUCCUCAAUCUUCUAUCUACUACAUCAUCUUGGUUUGCUCACUCUUGGACUUCUUCUUCUGCAAUUAUCGAUAAUUUUCGAAAUAUAUUCAAUCCAAUGUAA